GAUGAAGAACGUAGCGAAAUGCGAUAAGUAAUGCGAAUUGCAGAAUCCGUGAGUCAUCGAAUCUUUGAACGCACAUUGCGCCCUUUGGUAUUCCGAAGGGCAUGCCUGUUCGAGCGUCAUUAUCACCCCUCAAGCCCCGGCUUGGUGUUGGGCUCUCGGUGGUCGUCUCCGACCACCCGUCUCAAAGAUAGUGACGGUGUCCCAGAGGGAACCGGUACGAGGAGCUUUCACGAGCAUGUACGCGGGACGACUCUGCGGGCGACGGUCUUAUUUACUUUAUAUACAAGUGUUGACCUCGGAUCAGGUAGGAAUACCCGCUGAACUUAAGCAUAUCAAUAAGCGGAGGA
rnacentral:misc_RNA from 1 species